CGCGUAGGCGGUUUGUUAAGUCGGAUGUGAAAGCCCCGGGCUCAACCUGGGAACUGCAUUCGAUACUGGCAGGCUGGAGUAUGGUAGAGGGAAGUGGAAUUCCGGGUGUAGCGGUGAAAUGCGUAGAUAUCCGGAGGAACAUCAGUGGCGAAGGCGGCUUCCUGGACCAAUACUGACGCUGAGGUGCGAAAGCGUGGGGAGCAAACA
rnacentral:rRNA from 1 species